rnacentral:rRNA from 1 species
AGCGAACGCUGGCGGCGUGCUUAACACAUGCAAGUCGAACGAAGGCUUCGGCCUUAGUGGCGGACGGGUGAGUAACGCGUGGGAAUCUACCUUACGGCGGGGAAUAACUUCGGGAAACUGAAGCUAAUACCGCAUACGCUCUACGGAGGAAAGGCUUCGGCCACCGUUUGAGGAUCCCGCGUCCGAUUAGCUAGUUGGUAGGGUAACGGCCUACCAAGGCGACGAUCGGUAGCUGGUCUGAGAGGAUGAUCAGCCACUCUGGGACUGAGACACGGCCCAGACUCCUACGGGAGGCAGCAGUGGGGAAUAUUGGACAACGGGGGAAACCCUGAUCCAGCGACGCCGCGUGAAUGAUGAAGGCCUUAGGGUUGUAAAGUUCUUUCGUCCGUGACGAUGUUGACAGUACCUGGAAAAGAAGCCUCGGCUAACUCCGUGCCAGCCGCCGCCGUAAUAC